GUAAGGAGUGGGCAACCACCAUCUCCAAGUUGGAUGCACCGGUGCCGCCCCGACACAUAACCAGGCAGGUUGCCGACCAAAUCACCGGGUCCCCCGACACGCUCACUUGCCCGAACCACACGCAACACCAAUCCCGGUCCGCCAACCCCAGGUCAUCAUCUGACAAGAGUAUAUGCCAAUGUGUCUUCAUAAUUUGAUAUUCCCUCUCUGAAUACGCAUCAAUGUCCUGUGUUCUGACUGCGCUUUCAAGCUUCUUAACAUUCCUUAGGGAUACAUACUAGACCAGAUCAACUUUCUUUCUUCCUUGGAAAGGGCUAUAUAGGAAGCUACCGAAAUAAGAGCUCUAUUUCUGAC